GUCUCCAGCCGUACCACCCUGAAUGCGCCAUGUCUGCUCUCAUCUCAGAAGCUAAGCAGGGUCGGGGCCUGGUUAGGACUUGGGUGGGAGAUG
rnacentral:rRNA from 1 species